AGUGAACGCUGGCGGUAGGCCUAACACAUGCAAGUCGAACGGCAGCACAGUAAGAGCUUGCUCUUACGGGUGCGAGUGGCGGACGGGUGAGGAAUACAUCGGAAUCUACUUUUUCGUGGGGGAUAACGUAGGGAAACUUACGCUAAUACCGCAUACGACCUACGGGUGAAAGCAGGGGAUCUUCGGACCUUGCGCGAUUGAAUGAGCCGAUGUCGGAUUAGCUAGUUGGCGGGGUAAAGGCCCACCAAGGCGACGAUCCGUAGCUGGUCUGAGAGGAUGAUCAGCCACACUGGAACUGAGACACGGUCCAGACUCCUACGGGAGGCAGCAGUGGGGAAUAUUGGACAAUGGGCGCAAGCCUGAUCCAGCCAUACCGCGUGGGUGAAGAAGGCCUUCGGGUUGUAAAGCCCUUUUGUUGGGAAAGAAAAGCAGCAGGUUAAUACCCCGCUGUUCUGACGGUACCCAAAGAAUAGGCACCGGCUAACUUCGUG
rnacentral:rRNA from 1 species